AUGUUGGAAAAACCCCUCGCUGGGUGUAACUAUAAGUGGAUAUGAAAAGCAAAAAUUCCUCUUAAAAUCAAAAUCUUUUUAUGGUAGUUAUCCCAAGACGCAGUGCUCACAAGACAAGUGAUGAGGGAGAGAAAGUGGCCAGGGAAUCCUUGCUGUUCUUUCUGCAGGGAGGUAGAAACCUCUAACCACCUUUUCUUCACCUGCCCCGUUGCUAGGGUGGUUUGGAGAUCUAUUGGGGUGGUGCUAGGCACUGAUGUGUGCCCUAACAACUAUUGGCAGUAUUUCGUCUGGUGCAGUAAAUUUCUUCCUGGCAAAGAUACCUUCUAUACUGUGGGUUUAGUUGCUACUUGUUGGGCCAUCUGGCUGGCGCGUAAUCGUGCUACCUUUGAGAAAAAAUAG
rnacentral:rRNA from 1 species